CUUGUGACGUAUAUAAGUACGACCAAAUUUAGUGAUGUUGGUUUUCGUCCGACCAAAUUCAAGUUAUGUCCGACCAAAAUCAAAAGUGAUUGCACAAAUGUCCUGUCAAGUCAAAUAUUUAUUUGCAGCCCUGAUGUAGUUGCAUCCCUAUCAAUCUGAAGCUUUCUUAUUAUUGGCACUAGCCUGCACAGCAGUCACUUUAUUUUAGUGAAAGUUUUGAGGAAUUUUGAAUAAAUGGUGGGUUAGAAAGAAUGGGAGCAGAAAAAAAGGGUGAGAAAAAAAUGGGUGAAGCCAUUUUUCUAACCCACCAAAACCUUCAAUAAAAUAAAGCGACUGCUACGCAGGCUAUACCUGCACUGGCACAGACCAUUCAAGAUUGGAUCACAGAAAAACAGAUCUUACUGUAUAGUUUGGCAAGAUCUGCUGUAACUCGUCCCUUAAUGAGUAAAAUAAUCUGUUGUUAGACAGAGUUACAUAUAAUAAGGUAGGGUACAUUAGGACACAAUGCCAGUGUGUUAAGUGUUAACUAGGCACAUAAACAGAUAGUCUGAUUAGCCCAUUGAGCGUCAAAACACCCUCCCCUUGAUGAU
rnacentral:lncRNA from 1 species